AUUUAGAUAAUUACAUUCGGCAGCUGCUAAAUUACCUCAGAAAUAGACAACCACUUCCAAAAUCAUUUUUGUCACUACUAAUAUAGUUUAGUGACAAUUCUCUUCAAUUUAAUUCAAAUCCUUUAAUGUAAAACAUUGUUGUAAAUGGGCCGAGAUCCAUUUGCAACCCAUAUCUCCAAGUCCCCGUUACCUUUCUUCCAUUGGAAUUUGCAGCCCAUUUUCCCGCGAUCCGGCAUCUCCGAUCUUCGUCGUUACGUUUUCAUCUUCUUUUAUCACCUUCCAAGUUCUAACAAUGGCUUCCUGAAUCCGAUGCUGGAGCUCCAUCGCCACAACCGUCAACCCCAAAGAUCACAUCAUGAAGCUUGCUCCUUCCAUCCUCUUCCUUUCUCUCAGCUUCUCCUCUUUUCUUAGUCCUGCCACUGCUAGAGGCGGCCUUCACAGUUCCUACCCUCCAGGUGCCAAACGGUAGUUAAUUGUGAUCAGAUAGAUUAUCACGCCUGUUGCUUUCUUAAAAUCUUUACAGUUAAGGUGGGUUAGCGCUACUAGAAAGGGAAACUAAAUCUUUAAGCAUCAAGAAUUUGACCUGGAACGGGCUAUUAAGGCGUUCAGCCAAAGAUGCAGUAACAUUUCUAGGGUUUACAGGUGAUUACGUGGGCUUGUGCAUUUUUAACAUUUACCAGAUUAUAAGUUUACCACUCGUUAGUAUAUGAAAUAAAACAAUGGUAUUUGUUAGUAGUAGUUUGAUAGUUUGAGCUGGAUAAGUGCAGGAUUUUUACUGUAGAAUUUUUGUUUGUGCAUCUCAUGAUGAUUAUGCUGAUUUAAUCUCAUGAAUAUUAAUUUAUCCAAAUUGUAUCCAAGCUGCUAUUUGGUAAAAACUUUUGAAUCCUGAAAUUUUAAUCCGUCCUAUAUACAAUCAAUUUUUUGGAACAUGGCAGGAUUUUUGAAGGAAAACGCAGUAGUGUCCCCCCUUCCUCUCUGUAUAUAAUAACGUAGAAAUUAUAUUUGUUCCAUAACCCCGAAAAAGUUAUUAUUCAAAAGAACAGGAAUCUGCUUUGACUCUGUCGAGAUUAGCACAAAUUAGUCCUUGCAGCUGGUUGAAACUGAAUUUAACCAUAGAGCUGUGUAAUAAGGAUGCAGACACCAGUAUCUGAAAUCUUUUUGCAACAAUAACGCUGAAUAAGGGUCAGAAACUUAAAUAUAGGAAGUUUACAUUGAUUGCCCAUCAGUGGAAGUUAAAAAAGUGCGACACCUUUGAAUCCAGAAGGGUGCAGUACCUAUUUACCACCAAUUUGAGUUGAUUCUGGUAUUGGAGAUAUUCCAUCUGCAGUCUUUAUAAAAGUUUUAUUCAUUCCGCUAGUUCAAUUAUGUUACUUGUCCUUGAGAAAGGACAGACUCUAUCAAUUGUAUGUGUUUUGAUGGCAGUUUUAGUCACAAUUUUUUGUUACUUUUUCUCUGAUCUUGUAUGGAAACAAAUGAAGGAAACUACUAUGAGCCACUUAUGACCACAAGAAACUUAUAAUGAAACUGAGAAGCUGUAGUAUGAAAAAGAUUAUAACUUAUUAGUACAUGCCAAAAGAUCGAAGUGUAGUAUUUCGUGUUUACUGUUGAAAAAUGAAGUCAUGAAUUUCACUUUUUGUGGAAAAAGUUUUACGUACUACCCGGAUUUCAGUUUAUUGAGUGUUUGUAUAGGUGACAGUGUAGUAUUUUAGUAUUCGGUGUGCUACAUGAAAGCUUUCUUUUGUUUCUUUUCCAUUCCCCUGAAUGUAAAUCGAUUGUUACUUAUUUAUGCAAUUUCAAGUGAUAGUUUGAACAUUUUUAAAAAAAAUAUGCUGGGUGCAGCAGUGCAUUGGAAAUGUGCAUGGAGAUGAACCUGUAGGCUCUGAGCUUCUAAUUCUACUUGCAAAUUGGAUAUGUCUAAUUAUUGUUCUGUAACUCUUUAGUGUUAUACCCUACUUUUCUUUGUAAUUUAUGGCAAUUUUAGGUUACUUCAUUC